CCUUGUGUACCUGAGGUCUUUCAAAGGGUUAGCAGCCAAAGGAGUAGAUUUCUAAUUGGAGAACACUCCUUCUGGAAACAUCACCAACCUUUGGAAAGGGUUGGCCCAUGUGGAGGAUUCUUGUUCAGAAAAUGCCAGCCUUCCUGAAGGCUGUACUGAUGCCUUGCUUCCAGAGGACCAUUUGAUCGUCUCUUGUUGAUGGAAGAUAGAGAAUUUUUAUUUCCUUUGCUUCUGUCUGGCCUUUACUUUAUUUUUCUUUCA